UUUAUUCACUUUUUGGAUUUCUUGUUGUGUGAGGCACGUCAAUGGAAAUAACCUCAUUAAUUACUGAAUAACAAAAAAAGGAAAAUCAAAUAAUCAGGAUCAAGGAUAUGAAAAUGUUCCGUUUUUAAAGUUUAACUCAUAUGUGCUGCACAUUUGAAACAGGUUCUGUGCGGCAAAAAAAUAGCCUAACAUCGACUAAAUUUGGUUUAUCUAAUUACAUACUUUGAUUUCAUUGUAAUAGCUAGUAAUUCAACCACGCCUAACUGCACUUUGUUUGUGUCUGUUCGCUGUGAAUUAAAUGCGUCAUCUGUAUCACAUUUGGAGGCUCAGGUGUUGAGAAAGUUGCACGUAAUUUCUGUCAGAUCAUGUCAACACAAGCGGGAUGCUGUAGGUGCAGACUUGGUGAAAAUGGCGUCCGGUAUUGAAUGGCUUCUUCAUAUUGCCAGGAGCUGUGCUAUCAGUGACCACAUCAACACCAGAGCAUUAUAAUUCAUCCCCAGAGAAUGAAGUCAGCCGCCGCAUCAGGACUUGCGUCGGUCAAGAAAGCACAAACAAGCCGCCCUCAUCAUGGGAAAGUACGGCCGCUGCGCUGCAGAUGUUUCUAACGAGCAGGGCGACGAUGAGCGUUUUCACGGACUCCAGGGGACAUGAUCGCCUUUCACUUAUUUAUCGCCCGUUUACUAUCGAAGAAGAAGAGGAAGGAGAAGAAGAAGAAGUGACCUUCUCUGAGGAGGAAGAUGUCAGCUCUGAAAAAGGUGUUACCAUGGCUACUACAGACUCACUGCUGUCUUUUCUUUGAGAAGGACCCAGGUUUGCGUAGUUGGUGUUUGGUACGAGUGUUGAAUGUAAAGGAUGAGCGUUGUGAUAUUCCAGGGUCUUUCUCAUCAUCAACAAAUCCCAAAACUGAGCCCACUAAAUUUUACCUUUGUAG